AUUGAACGCUGGCGGCAUGCCUUACACAUGCAAGUCGAACGGCAGCACGGGUGCUUGCACCUGGUGGCGAGUGGCGAACGGGUGAGUAAUACAUCGGAACAUGUCCUGUAGUGGGGGAUAGCCCGGCGAAAGCCGGAUUAAUACCGCAUACGAUCUACGGAUGAAAGCGGGUGACCUUCGGGCCUCGCGCUUUAGGGUUGGCCGAUGGCUGAUUAGCUAGUUGGUGGGGUAAAGGCCUACCAAGGCGACGAUCAGUAGCUGGUCUGAGAGGACGACCAGCCACACUGGAACUGAGACACGGCCCAGACUCCUACGGGAGGCAGCAGUGGGGAAUUUUGGACAAUGGGCGAAAGCCUGAUCCAGCAAUGCCGCGUGUGUGAAGAAGGCCUUCGGGUUGUAAAGCACUUUUGUCCGGAAAGAAAUCCUUGGCUCUAAUACAGUCGGGGGAUGACGGUACCGGAAGAAUAAGCACCGGCUAACUACGUG
rnacentral:rRNA from 1 species